rnacentral:lncRNA from 13 species
GUUUGACUCUCCAACUCUUUCAACUAUUGACUUUUAUCACAGCUGCCACUAGUUUGAUGGCAAAACGUUGAUAACAAAUACAUAUUGACAUAGUAGCAAAAUAUAUAAAGGAUGUUUUAUGCUGAAACCCUCAUAUUUAACACUGAUGGUAUUUGCUAAGUUUGGUUGAUAUUUAGGAAAAUGUUUUACAGUGUUGUCAUCUUUAAUUAUUUCAUAUUUUACAUGUGAUAAGGCCACACAGUGGGCCAGAGACGAUUAGACACCUGUAAUAAUCUGAAGUACCAAACAUGGCCACUAGAUGUGCUAAAUGACAAAAAAUUAUUGAAAGUUACAAAACUUUUUAGAGUGCCGCUAGGUAAAACCCCAACACCCUGGACAGACAGGAACACAGUAGAGCUGAUGCAGCUUUAUAACACCCUGAAGAAGGAUGAAAUGCACCAUUCAAUAAUAAACAUCUUCAAUGCAACUUCCACUGUCCUAGAGUGACUCACAUCUAGCUUGCUCCAAAUCCUCAAUGAACCUUAAUUAGACUGCAAGCCAAGGCGCUUCUUCCUUUGCACUGUAGCUUUGACAGUCAGAGCAGUACCCAUGGACUGCUGCACUGCAGAGCAUGUUGAGUCCUAUCUUCCUUCAAGCCCAUUCAUCCUCAGCUUUAUAAAUAUUCUCUACGACUCUGGUCAAAAGUAGUGCACAAUUAAGGGAAUUGGGUGCCGUUCGGUAUUAGACUGUUUAUUUACCUUUAUUUAACCAGGUAGGCAAGUUGAGAACAAGUUCUCAUUUACAAUUGCGACCUGGCCAAGAUAAAGCAAAGCAGUUCGACAGAUACAACAACACAGAGUUACACAUGGAGUAAAACAAACAUACAGUCAAUAAUAAAGUAUAAACAAGUCUAUAUACAAUGUGAGCAAAUGAGGUGAGAAGGGAGGUAAAGGCAAAAAAAGGCCUUGGUGGCAAGGUAAAUACAAUAUAGCAAGUAAAACACUGGGAUGGUAGUUUUGCAAUGGAAGAAUGUGCAAAGUAGAAAUAAAAAUAAUGGGGUGCAAAGGAGCAAAAUAAAUAAAUAAAGUAAAUACAGUUGGGAAAGAGGUAGUUGAUAGGGCUAAAUUAUAUGUGGGCUAUGUACAGGUGCAGUAAUCUGUGAGCUGCUCUGACAGUUGGUGCUUAAAGCUAGUGAGGGAGAUAAGUGUUUCCAGUUUCAGAGAUUUUUGUAGUUCGUUCCAGUCAUUGGCAGCAGAGAACUGGAAAGAGAGGCGGCCAAAGAAAUAAUUGGUUUUGGGGGUGACUAGAGAGAUAUACCUGCUGGAGCGUGUGCUACAGGUGGGAGAUGCUAUGGUGACCAGCGAGCUGAGAUAAGGGGGGACUUUACCUAGCAGGGUCUUGUAGAUGACAUGGAGCCAGUGGGUUUGGCGACGAGUAUGAAGCGAGGGCCAGCCAACGAGAGCGUACAGGUCGCAAUGGUGGGUAGUGUAUGGGGCUUUGGUGACAAAACGGAUUGCACUGUGAUAGACUGCAU